rnacentral:rRNA from 1 species
UACGGAGGAUGCAAGCGUUAUCCGGACUGAUUGGGUGUAAAGCAUCUGUAGGCGGUUUUGGAAGUCUACGGUUAAAUCCCAGAGCUUAACUUUGGUUCAGCCGUAGAGUACUUCAAAGCUUGAGUAUGGUAGGGGUAGAGGGAACUUCUCGUGGAGCGGUGAAAUGCACAGAGAUGAGAAGGAACACCAGUGGCGAAAGCGCUCUACUGGGCCAUGACUGACGCUGAGAGAUGACAGCUGAGGGAGCGAAUAGG